GGAAGGACUAUGGUGAUCCACCGUCCAAAGAGUGAAAUUUCUUUUUCCACCAACAUCACAUUGAAAUGACACAUUCUAUGGCGCAAUGAACACUUGUCGUUCAUGCCAAUUUUAUGGACCAUUUCUGUAAGUUAAAUCCAUGAAGAUGAAGAUAGAAAGUGACAAAGAGGUGGUCACAGCCCACAUGAUAGACACUUUCUACAUAAUCUCCUACUUUGUUUCUACGCAAUCGAUCAUCACCUAAAUUGGCAUUUUCAUUGGAUAGCAAACCAAAAAUUAAAAGCAAGAAAACUUUACAUCAAACACUUGCACUACCAACUCAAUUUCGCUUGCAAUUAGCAACUGCUUCUUCUUUUUUUUUUUUAAUCUUAAUAUAUGCUACAGGCCAGGGUGAUGGCUGAAGCCGGGAGAAUGUCAGCCGUGUACUUAGUACUAGCAAGCUGCGUUUGUGUUUAAACUCGCUCGUCCACUGACCCAUUUGCCACCAUUUGCUUCUCUUGCUGGGGCUUUCCUGAACCCAUCUCCAGUGAUUCAGAUGUGGGUUGCUUUGCAGCUGCUGCAUCUUUACCCUUAUUUUUGCGAUAGAUGAAGUAUAGAAUCAGCUGUAUUGCACCUAGACCACACCCAAAACCAUUGGGGACCUGAAACAAUAUUAUUUUCCAUCAGAAUACAGCAUUAAAGAAAACGGAUAUAAUUAAUGGGUAAAAUGGAGUUGAGAAAUUAACUUACAGCUACAAAAGGAUCGCGGCCAAGUAGGCCGAAGAUGAACCAAGAAGUGCCACAGAGAAACACAAACAGUGACAAGAAAAAUGGCAUGAAUUCUACACUCUUAGUUUUAAUCACC
rnacentral:misc_RNA from 1 species